GAUGAACGCUGGCGGCGUGCCUAAUACAUGCAAGUCGAACGCGAGAUGAGGGAGCUUGCUCCCUCUGAUCGAGUGGCGGACGGGUGAGUAACACGUAGGCAACCUGCCCAUCAGUCCGGGAUAACCGCGGGAAACCGUGGCUAAUACCGGAUGAUCCUCUCCACCGCGGGGUGGGGAGUUGAAAGACGGUUUCGGCUGUCGCUGAUGGAUGGGCCUGCGGCGCAUUAGCUGGUUGGCGGGGUAACGGCCCACCAAGGCAACGAUGCGUAGCCGACCUGGGAGGGUGAUCGGCCAAACUGGGACUGAGCCACGGCCCAGACUCCUACGGGAGGCAGCAGUAGGGAAUCUUCCGCAAUGGACGCAAGUCUGACGGAGCAACGCCGCGUGAGUGAAGAAGGGCUUCGGCUCGUAAAACUCUGUUGUUAAGGAAGAACGACAGGUAGAGUAACUGCUACCUGUGUGACGGUACUUAACCAGAAAGCCACGGCUAACUACGUGCCAGCCGCCGCCGUAA
rnacentral:rRNA from 1 species